GUCCAGUGUAGCCUAGUGGUCAUAGCAUCUGCCUGUUAAGCGGAACACUGUGGGUUCGAUUCCCAUCCCUGGACA
rnacentral:tRNA from 1 species